rnacentral:lncRNA from 1 species
CUGAGCCUGGAUCCUGGGUCUGAGGGUGGAGGGCUGAGCCUGGAUCCUGGGUCUGAGGGUGGGGGGCUGAGGUCAUACCUUGAGCAUGCGGGCAGCCACUGAGACGAUCUGUGGGAAGUAGGCGAUGUUGUGGCGGAACUUCUCCUGCAUGUCACACAGGAACAGGACAGAGGAUCCUGGGAGGACUCGGCCCAGGCUGGGCCUGGCAGCCGCCAUUUUCUGGGGGUGCCGGGUUCGAGCCCGGAACGGCCCCUCUGCAGGUGAGGCGGGGGCACCCUCACCUCUCGGCUCUCGGACGGCCACCGCUGAGGCCUCUUGCGGGCUUCCCAGGGCUGGUUACCGUUUCGUUAGGGCUGGACACGUGGCCCACCCCCUGCACCGUCCGUUUUCCGCCCACUUGGGCCCAGCCGUCCAAUCGACACUCAUCAUGCUCUGCCUCGCCG